GAUGAACGCUAGCUACAGGCUUAACACAUGCAAGUCGAGGGGAAACGGCAUCGAAAGCUUGCUUUUGAUGGGCGUCGACCGGCGCACGGGUGAGUAACGCGUAUCCAACCUGCCCAUCACUUGGGAAUAACCUUGCGAAAGUAAGACUAAUGCCCAAUGACAUCCCACGAAGGCAUCCGAAUGGGAUUAAAGAUUUAUCGGUGAUGGAUGGUGAUGCGUCUGAUUAGCUUGUUGGCGGGGUGACGGCCCACCAAGGCAACGAUCAGUAGGGGUUCUGAGAGGAAGGUCCCCCACAUUGGAACUGAGACACGGUCCAAACUCCUACGGGAGGCAGCAGUGAGGAAUAUUGGUCAAUGGGCGAGAGCCUGAACCAGCCAAGUAGCGUGCAGGAUGACGGCCCUAUGGGUUGUAAACUGCUUUUAUAAGGGAAUAAAGUGGGUCACGUGUGACUUUUUGCAUGUACCUUAUGAAUAAGGACCGGCUAAUUCCGUG
rnacentral:rRNA from 1 species